rnacentral:lncRNA from 1 species
UUUUACAGGAUUAAAGAGAGGACCUAUUCAGUGAGACAUUACUGUAUUCACAAAUACUUCCUGCUUCAUUCAUAUAUUGAUUCCUGCUUCUAGUAGAAUCAUAAAAAUAGCUGAAGCUCUUGCACCUGUGGCCAUCAUUCCUCUGUUAUGGAUGAAUUUAGAAUCAAUAACUAAGCUAUUGGAUGAUCGUAAAAGGCAACAGAGAGUCUGACUGGGGUCUAUGUACUUAGAAGGCUGCAUAACGUUUUCAUAUGGCUGCAAUUUCAAGCCCAAUGGAUAAAAAUUAAAAACAAUAACAAGCUUAUUUGUGCACUCUGUGUAACUCAAUGCUGUGCAAUUGUUUGGAAGUUUGGAUUGUCUAUUCAUUGCAAAUAGCAUCUGUGCUCAAUUACAUUCAGUCUAUUAGGAGGCAGGGCUUUCAGAAGUAAUAAAAGCGUCUUAAGAGAUGCUUUGCACUAGAGAGCUAAUGAUUUCUGAAAAAGACAGACAAUUGGGUUGAUUCCACAGGUACUGCAGAAGGGAAAAUGUUCCAGAUGAAAUGGAAAUUAUUUCAUGAAUCAUCUCAUGAUUUCACAGAAAGAAGGCAAGGAAAGGAAAAUGCUGUCCUAUCCCAAGGAAUACAAGAGAGUUAUCAAACAUGGCUGUGUCCCUCUUGCCACUUUGAUGCUGAGGGACUCGUCCAGCUGUAAACCCACAGCAUUGUUUGAGAGGCCAUCAAGACCCAAACAGACCUAUAUGCGGUUUCACAAGGCACCCGGUUUUGGAGACAAAGGACAGUGA